AUUUAUAAAUAUAAUAAGUAUUGUUUUAAAAAAAAGGUAAUUGGUUUUGUUACCAAAAUUAAAGUCUUUUUAUGUUAAACAUGUAAAUUUUUAUGUGAAUUCAUAUAUUAUUUAAUAUAAUAUUUGAUUAAGUUUCAGUUUUUAAAAUUAAUAGUUUAAUAGUUUUAAUUAUAGCAAUAAAGUGAGUACUGUCAUAUUUUAGUGCCAGCAGUUGCGGUUAUACUAAUAGUACAAUUUUAAUUUUAUUGGUUAGGUAUUAAUCUAAAUUAAUUUAUUUAAAAUUAAUUUUAUUAAGUGAAAUUUUAUAUUUAAGUUUAAAUAAAGGUUGGUUAGAUAUUAUAUAUAAGUUAAAAACUAGGAUUAGAUACCCUAUUAUUUUAUAUUAAUUAAAUGACCCUAUUAUUAAUAAUUUAAAUUUCAAAAUAAAAAAACUUGGCGGUAAUUGUUAAUUGUUUAGAGGAACCUGUUUUUUAAUCGAUACACCACGAUUAGUUGUACCUUAUUUAAUUUCUUAUAUACCGCUAUCAUUGAAUAUUUUAUUAAAAUAUUUUCUAUAAUUAAUUUAUACCAAAUGUUAGGUCAAGGUUUAGAAUAGUAAGGUUUAUAAUGGGUUACAAUAAAAAAGAUUAUGAAUUUUCAAAUUUAAUAUUUAAAUGAAAUUGGAUUUAAUUGUAAUAUAAUAUAUAUAUAUUUAAUGAAAUUAUUAUAGUUAUGCACAUAUCGCCCGUCAUUCUCAUUUAUGAGACAAGUCGUAACAAAGUAGGAUUACUGGAAAGUAACCCUGGUUAAAUU
rnacentral:ncRNA from 1 species